rnacentral:rRNA from 1 species
UACGUAGGGGGCUAGCGUUGUCCGGAAUCAUUGGGCGUAAAGAGCGCGUAGGCGGCCAGAUAAGUCCGGUGUGAAAGUCCAAGGCUCAACCUUUGAAUGCCGCUGGAAACUGUCUGGCUAGAGUCCGGGAGGGGCGAGUGGAAUUCCUGGUGUAGCGGUGAAAUGCGCAGAUAUCAGGAGGAACACCAAUGGCGAAGGCAGCUCGCUGGAACGGUACUGACGCUGAGGCGCGAAAGCGUGGGGAGCGAACAGG